AAGUCGUAACAAGGUUUCCGUAGGUGAACCUGCGGAAGGAUCAUUAACACUAAUGAAAUCCAAAACCUUUUGGAUCAACCCAACCUUAGCGAACCGUUCGUAUAUUUUCCCUUUGCCCCAAUUUUACCAAACGCAAAAACUCUGAUGUAAAGUGUCUGAUUCUUAUUCUCGUUGUCGGUUGUCAUGACCGAGCCCGCGGGAAUCAAAAUCUAACGCAAUACAACUCUUAACAACGGAUAUCUUGGCUCUC
rnacentral:misc_RNA from 1 species